rnacentral:rRNA from 1 species
AACGAACGCUGGCGGCAGGCAUAACACAUGCAAGUCGAACGGUUGUAGCAAUACAGCAGUGGCAGACGGGUGAGUAACACGUGGGAACCUUCCUAGGGGUACGGAACAACUCAGGGAAACUUGAGCUAAUACCGUAUCCGUCCGUGAGGAGAAAGAUUUAUCGCCCUUAGACGGGCCCGCGUCGGAUUAGCUAGUUGGUGGGGUAACGGCCUACCAAGGCGACGAUCCGUAGCUGAUCUUAGAGGAUGAUCAGCCACACUGGGACUGAGACACGGCCCAGACUCCUACGGGAGGCAGCAGUGGGGAAUCUUGGACAAUGGGCGCAAGCCUGAUCCAGCCAUGCCGCGUGGGUGAAGAAGGUCUUCGGAUUGUAAAGCUCUUUUGCCAGGGACGAUAAUGACGGUACCUGGAGAAUAAGCCCCGGCAAACUUCGUGCCAGCCGCCGCGGUAA